rnacentral:rRNA from 1 species
GGGGAAUAUUGGACAAUGGGGGGAACCCUUAUCCAGCCAUGCCGAGUGUGUGAAGAAGGCAGUAUGGUUGGAAAGCACGUUAAGCGAGGUGGAGGACCUAUUUGUUAAUACUCAAGAUGAGUGGAGGUUAGUCGCAGAAUAAGCAGCGACUUACUCUGUGCCAGCAGCCGCGGUAAUACAGAGGGUGCGAGCGUUAAUCGGAUUUACUGGGCGUAAAGCGUGCGUAGGCGGCUUUUUAAGUCGGAUGUGAAAUCCCCGAGCUUAACUUGGGAAUUGCAUUCGAUACUGGGAAGCUAGAGUAUGGGAGAGGAUGGUAGAAUUCCAGGUGUAGCGGUGAAAUGCGUAGAGAUCUGGAGGAAUACCGAUGGCGAAGGCAGCCAUCUGGCCUAAUACUGACGCUGAGGUACGAAAGCAUGGGGAGCAAACA